AUACACACACUAUAAUGAGUAUUAAUACACUUCUUAUAUGCCAUGAAAGAGAGAAAAAUGUGUCUUAAAUCUAUGUUUAGGAUAAACAAGUGUCAAGCAGUGUCAAUCAAUAAAAUAAUUUUGCAUAAUUUUUGAACUUUCUUAUUUAAGUGUGCUUUAUUUACUUGCAUGAUAAAAGUUUCUCAUAGGAGAGAAAUCAAAAAGUAUUUUGCCAACAGUGUUUAAAGCAGAUUUCAAAUUGAUCAUCAGCUUGACAUCAGUUGAUAUCAGCUAUGGUGCCCAUUGCUCCAUUGUGCAUCCAGCAGCUACCAUAACCCCACCAGAGGUGAAAAACAAACUAAUUUUGAGGGUCACUGAAUACAGUGAUUCUUCACAAAACCUGAGAACAUUAUUACUUAUGGUGUGUGUCAUAAGUGUGGCAAGAAGAAAAUCUUUUGCAUGUUUGUUUUGUUUUCUUUCUUUCUUUUUGUAAAGGAUCAAAUUUUAAAACAACGUUGAAAUAUCUCAUCUGAUUGAAUGAAGCUGGAAAACUGAUGAAACUCCAUGAAAUGGUGUUGGCGUUAUCCCUUAGAACAUAUCUAGUGAAAAAUGCAGUAUGUCACAUGUCUGUGGAAAUCAUGGAUGAGAAGGUAAUUAAAAAAAAAAAAAAAAAGAUAAGAAAAUUUGAGAAUGCUGUUGCUGAUGGUUUUUGCAUCUACUCCUAAACUACUUCACACAAGCAAUAUCAAUUGCUACAACUUAGUAGUAGAAGGUCAUGUUGCUCUAAUCCAUCCACUUCUAAACACAAUUUCUUCUGUGCACCUGAACUCCUAAAGUGCUCUUCUUUUUGUUUCAGUUUUCGUAUAUUAGCUUUUGUUAAGAGGCAGAUAUAAAGAUAGAGAGAAAACUGGCAGAUACUAUCGUGCACCUUGUCACUGAAGCCAACUAAAGUUCUACAUUUUGUUGCUUUGUUGAAGAGCUCAGCUAGGAAAUAUAUGAGAAAUGAAGCCAUUCUUUUGAUGUUUUAAACUUUAUUACAUUGCAUUAUUUUACUGAAAUAGACUUCAACCACUAUCACAGGCUCCUAUCUACGGGUUAAAUAUAAACAACCUUGUUAUUGAAUGGGAUUGAGAGGCGUUAGAACAGGCUGCCCAGGGAAGUAGCCGAGUAACCAUCCUUGGAGCACCACAUGUGAAAAGACAUGUAGAUGGGGACAUGGUUUAGUCACUUGACAGUGUUAGGUUAAUGGUUGGAACUGAUGAUCUUAGAACUCUUUUCCAACCUAAAUGAUUCCAUGAUUCUAUGAUUCUGUUCUAUAGUAUGUAUCUCAUCCCUAUUGUACUAAAUUCACACUUACUAUCUUUGUCUAAAAGCCUAAUUGACUCUGGAACUCUGUUCAUCAUGCUUUGCCCAUUUGAAAGCUCAACACCAAAUAAUAAAAAAUAUAGUCAUAUCCCCA
rnacentral:lncRNA from 1 species